rnacentral:rRNA from 1 species
GAUGAACGCUGGCGGCAGGCUUAACACAUGCAAGUCGAACGAGAUCUUCGGAUCUAGUGGCAGACGGGUGAGGAACACGUGGGAGCAUCCCUUUCAGUUCGGAAUAACGUUGGGAAACUAACGCUAAUACCGGAUACGUCCUUCGGGAGAAAGAUUUAUCGCUGAAAGAUUGGCCCGCGUCUGAUUAGCUAGUUGGUGAGGUAAUGGCUCACCAAGGCUACGAUCAGUAGCUGAUCUGAGAGGAUGAUCAGCCACAUUGGGACUGAGACACGGCCCAAACUCCUACGGGAGGCAGCAGUGGGGAAUAUUGGACAAUGGGCGCAAGCCUGAUCCAGCCAUGCCGCGUGAGUGAUGACGGCCUUCGGGUUGUAAAGCUCUUUUGUCCGGGAAGAUAAUGACUGUACCGGAAGAAUAAGCCCCGGCAAACUUCGUGCCAGCCGCCGCGGUAA